rnacentral:lncRNA from 1 species
UAAAGUUGUCUGGUCACUACUCGAGAUCAGUCCCGAUUGGUAGGGGUCAAAGAUCCCAAAAAUCCAUCCGAGACUAAUUACUCGAGAUAAAAGGGAGUCCUUUAGUCCCGGGUCAUCCACCCGGGACUAAAAAAUUUCAAAAAAAAUAAAAAAAUGCACCGACGGCCUCCACCCGCCUCGGCUCCCACGCCGCCCGUCGCCUCUGGCCUCCGCCGGCCGGCCACCCACACCUGACUACCCGGCCGCGCCACCCCCACCCGCGCCGGAGCCUAGAAGAAAAGGAGAGAAGGAGUUAGCGCUGGGAGAUAAGGUGGAGAAGGAAGGUGGUGGGGGCGCGCGUGUGAGAAAAGGUUCCGGUUGGAAAUUCGAACCGGGAUAAAAGGUCCCCUUGUCCCGGUUGGAAUUUCCAACUAGGACAAAAGGUCCCUUGGAAUUUUUAAUCGGGACUAAAUCUUUUUGUCCCGGUUAGAAUUACCAAUCGGGACAAAAGGAGGACGUCUUUUAUCCCCAUUGGAAUUACCAACUGAGAUAAAAGCUCCCAUCGUCAGUAUUAUAUUUUUUAGCCGUUACAACCGGGACUAAAGGGGGGUUUUAGUCCUGAUUGGUCUUUACAACUAGGACUAAAGCCCCUCUCGUGUGUGGCCUUCGGUGCCUCAUUUUUAACUCAGGACUAAAGAUAAAAUGUCAGUUGGGUAUUUCUCUCGUUGUAGCUCAGGGCUCAAAAUGGACUUUUUCUUUUUUUAUGGUUUUUUCGAGGAAUUUUUUUAUGACAUAUAAGCACUUGCAUUGAAGUUGUCUAGAUGUUACUCCCUCC